AUACGUAGGUGGCAAGCGUUAUCCGGAAUUAUUGGGCGUAAAGGGUGCGUAGGCGGUUUAUUAAGUCUAUGGUGAAAGUGCGGGGCUCAACCCCGUAUGGCCAUAGAAACUAGUAGACUUGAGUGCAGGAGAGGGCAAUGGAAUUCCAUGUGUAGCGGUAAAAUGCGUAGAUAUUAGGAGGAACACCAGUGGCGAAGGCGACUUACUGGACUGUAACUGACGCUGAGUCACGAAAGCGUGGGUAGC
rnacentral:rRNA from 1 species